GGUUAAGCGACUAAGCGUACACGGUGGAUGCCCUGGCAGUCAGAGGCGAUGAAGGACGUGCUAAUCUGCGAAAAGCGUCGGUAAGGUGAUAUGAACCGUUACAGCCGGCGAUGUCCGAAUGGGGAAACCCAGUGCAAUUCGUUGCACUAUCGUUAACUGAAUACAUAGGUUAACGAGGCGAACCGGGGGAACUGAAACAUCUAAGUACCCCGAGGAAAAGAAAUCAACCGAGAUUCCCCCAGUAGCGGCGAGCGAACGGGGAGCAGCCCAGAGUCUGAAUCAGCUUGUGUGUUAGUGGAACGGUCUGGAAAGUCCGACGGUACAGGGUGAUAGUCCCGUACACCAAAAUGCACAGGCUGUGAACUCGAAGAGUAGGGCGGGACACGUGGUAUCCUGUCUGAAUAUGGGGGGACCAUCCUCCAAGGCUAAAUACU
rnacentral:rRNA from 2 species